UACGUAGGGAGCAAGCGUUGUCCGGAAUCAUUGGGCGUAAAGCGCGCGUAGGUGGCCCCAUAAGUCCGCUGUGAAAGUCAAAGGCUCAACCUUUGAAAGCCGGUGGAAACUGUGGGACUAGAGUACGGAAGAGGCGAGUGGAAUUCCUGGUGUAGCGGUGGAAUGCGCAGAUAUCAGGAGGAACACCAAUAGCGAAGGCAGCUCGCUGGGACGUACUGACACUGAGGCGCGAAAGCGUGGGGGAGCGAACAGG
rnacentral:rRNA from 1 species